CCUACGGGUGGCAGCAGUGGGGAAUAUUGCACAAUGGGCGCAAGCCUGAUGCAGCCAUGCCGCGUGUGUGAAGAAGGCCUUCGGGUUGUAAAGCACUUUCAGCGGGGAGGAAGGCGGUGAGGUUAAUAACCUCAUCGAUUGACGUUACCCGCAGAAGAAGCACCGGCUAACUCCGUGCCAGCAGCCGCGGUAAUACGGAGGGUGCAAGCGUUAAUCGGAAUUACUGGGCGUAAAGCGCACGCAGGCGGUCUGUCAAGUCGGAUGUGAAAUCCCCGGGCUCAACCUGGGAACUGCAUUCGAAACUGGCAGGCUAGAGUCUUGUAGAGGGGGGUAGAAUUCCAGGUGUAGCGGUGAAAUGCGUAGAGAUCUGGAGGAAUACCGGUGGCGAAGGCGGCCCCCUGGACAAAGACUGACGCUCAGGUGCGAAAGCGUGGGGAGCAAACAGGAUUAGAUACCCGAGUAGUC
rnacentral:rRNA from 1 species